rnacentral:rRNA from 1 species
AGUGAACGCUGGCGGCAGGCCUAACACAUGCAAGUCGAGCGGCAGCGCGGGGGCAACCCUGGUGUCGAGUGGCGGACGGGUGAGUAAUUCGUCGGUAUCUGCCUUUUUGUUGGGGAUAACGUAGGUUAACUUACGCUAAUACCGCAUACGUCCUACUGGUGAACGUCGGGGUUCGCAAGUCCUCACGCAUAUAGAUGUGCCUUCGACGGAUUAGCUAGUUGGUGUGGUAAAGGCCUACCAAGGCGACGAUCGGUAGCUGGUCUGAGAGGAUGAUCUGCCACACUGGAACUGAGACACGGCCCAGACUCCUACGGGAGGCAGCAGUAGGGAAUAUUGGGCAAUGGGCGAAAGCCUGAUGGAGCAAUGCCGCGUGAGUGAUGAAGGCCUUCGGGUUGUAAAGCACUUUUGUCAGGAAAGAAAAAACGGGAAAGAAAACAUGCAGGGGAUGACGGUACCGGAAGAAUAAGCAACGGCUAACUACGUG